rnacentral:rRNA from 1 species
AUUGAACGCUGGCGGCAUGCCUUACACAUGCAAGUCGAACGGUAGAGGGGGCAACCCCUCGAGAGUGGCGAACGGGUGAGUAAAGCAUCGGAACGUGCCCAGUAGUGGGGGAUAGCCCGGCGAAAGCCGGAUUAAUACCGCAUGAGACCUACGGGUGAAAGGGGGGGAUCGCAAGACCUCUCGCUAUUGGAGCGGCCGAUGUCAGAUUAGGUAGUUGGCGGGGUAAAGGCCUACCAAGCCGACGAUCUGUAGCUGGUCUGAGAGGACGACCAGCCACACUGGGACUGAGACACGGCCCAGACUCCUACGGGAGGCAGCAGUGGGGAAUUUUGGACAAUGGGCGCAAGCCUGAUCCAGCCAUGCCGCGUGCGGGAAGAAGGCCUUCGGGUUGUAAACCGCUUUUGUCAGGGAAGAAAUCCUUUGAGCUAAUACCUCGGGGGGAUGACGGUACCUGAAGAAUAAGCACCGGCUAACUACGUGCCAGCAGCCGCGGUAAGAC